rnacentral:misc_RNA from 1 species
AAAAUGCGAUAAGUAAUGUCAAUUGCAGAAUUCAGUGAAUCAUCGAAUCUUUGAACGCACAUUGCGCCCGCCAGUAUUCUGGCGGGCAUGCCUGUUCGAGCGUCAUUUCAACCCUCAAGCCCCCCGGGUUUGGUGUUGGGGAUCGGGCUGCGGUUCUGCCGCGUCCCGGCCCCGAAAUCUAGUGGCGGUCUCGCUGCAGCCUCCAUUGCGUAGUAGCUAACACCUCGCAACUGGAACGCGGCGCGGCCAAGCCGUUAAACCCCCCAACUUCUGAAUGUUGACCUCGGAUCAGGUAGGAAUACCCGCUGAACUUAAGC